rnacentral:tRNA from 4 species
GCCCUCUUAGUUCAGUGGUAGAACGGUGGUAUCGUAAACCAUAGACGUCAGUCCGAUUCUGACAGGGGGCUCCA